rnacentral:rRNA from 1 species
GACGAACGCUGGCGGCGUGCUUAACACAUGCAAGUCGAACGGUGACGAGGAGCUUGCUCCUCCGAUCAGUGGCGAACGGGUGAGUAACACGUGAGUAACCUGCCCCAGACUCUGGGAUAACAGUUGGAAACAGCUGCUAAUACCGGAUACGAGACGGAGAGGCAUCUCCACCGUCUGGAAAGUUUUUCGGUCUGGGAUGGACUCGCGGCCUAUCAGCUUGUUGGUGAGGUAAUGGCUCACCAAGGCGACGACGGGUAGCCGGCCUGAGAGGGCGACCGGCCACGACUGGGACUGAGACACGGCCCAGACUCCUACGGGAGGCAGCAGUGGGGAAUAUUGCACAAUGGGCGAAAGCCUGAUGCAGCGACGCCGCGUGAGGGAUGACGGCCUUCGGGUUGUAACCGUACUUUCUAGCAGGGAAGAAGCGAAGUGACGGUACCUGCAGAAGAAGCACCGGCUAACUACGUGCCAGCAGCCGCGGUAAAUAGCGUAC